rfam:Capnocytophaga sp. oral taxon 332 str. F0381 genomic scaffold Scfld1517, whole genome shotgun sequence.
UACUUUUGCAGCCGGAAAAUGUACAUAAUAAUCAUUAAAAUAAUAUUGGAAUG